AUAAAUAGUACUUGGUGUAGUAAUGCAACUAUACUCUUUGGAGUGCCGAACAACAAUAAUCUUUAUUCUCAUCAUCAGGCCUGUCAAUCUCAGGCACAGCCUACUCUAACUUCAAUUGGUACACUAUACUACAUCUCUCCUUUUUUCCAAUAUUUAAGCCAAUAUUUAACUGUUUAUAAUUCUUAAAAUCUACUCAUAGUGACUUGAGAUUUCUUCUUCUUUAUAUAUAAAACAUAAACCUUGAAUGGUCUGAUGUUCACAUCUUCAAUGGAAAUUGUUUGAUCCAAUUGGCCGUCCAUAAGUGGUGUAAUCCAACAUACCGUCCUCGAGUAACGUUUCCUUGUUUAACUAUAUAUGGUUGGAAAUAUAUUUCAAAUUAUUAUAAUCAAAUAUAGAGCUAUUUAUUUAUACUUAGAUCUUCAUAAUAGUGUCUCUCUUCCUUUUCGCGAAAGAUUUUUUUUUUACCUUUGUUCAUUGAAUGACCACUUCAUAGUCCGUUAUUUCACAAAUGUAUUUUUUAUUGGCUGCUGCGACCAAAAGUUGUAAGGAUGGUUAGUGUACCUAAAUUGAAUUUAUAUUAAUGUUAAGUAUUUGAAAAUUUAUUAACUCUUUUAUUUCCCUUCACCAUUAAACCAAAUUGAAUUCAAGCUGCUUUUAUCUCGAAAAAGACCGGAUUGAUAGGACGAAUCCUCUACACCCGGCUUUUUUUCCGACUGCAAAAACAUUGUAUUUCCUUUGCGUAUCCCUUUACCAUAGAUGGACUGAAGUUCUACUUCCUACAUCUCAUGGUAGGCUGGACUGCCAAAUGGACUGAGAUAGAUCUCCUACAUCUGGUCUUUUGUUGUGCAGACUGAAACAUUUAGUUUCCUUUGCUUAUCCCUUUACCAUAGAUGGACUGAAUUCAAUUUCCUGCAUCUCAUGGUAGACUGGAUAUGAGCCAAAUGGACUAAGGUUAUUCUUCUACAUUUGGUCUUGAGUAUUUAUCUCCAAAUAGGCUGGAAUAGAAUUCCCGUAUUUGGAUACAGAAACGGACUAGAACUUUCUUAAAGUUCCCUACGUUUCUUUCAAGAAAUUAGACUGAAGUUUCAUAAACCUCCUAUAAUUUCUUCAUGUAGACAGGCAUUUUUAAAUAGACCGCACGCUUAUCAUGAAUGGACUAGAAUUUAUAAUCCCCUUCAUUCAAUGUUUACAUCCAAUCAGGUUCGGAUGUACAUGUACAAAUUAACCCCCCAUAUUCAAGCUCGAUACCUCUUGUUUGUUUCUUACUGAGGAUUUAUCUAUGGUUCUGAUAAUUUCUAUGGUUCCAUAAUAUGGCCUGAAUUAUAUUAUCUCCUCUCAAAACUUUUUUUCAUGUAUUUCCUAGAAUCACUGUUUUUUUUAUUUAAAAUAAACAUCGAAUUGGUUGUAAAAGUUAAGGUUUAAAUCAAAACCGACCGACAAGAGCUUUAUCUGUCCUAAUAUUGAUCAACUUAUAUUUAAAUCGUGCUGUUUUCAGUAGCAUCCAAGUAUUUCUUUUUUAUACAACCGUAUAUUCUCCGCAACAUUUUUAAAAUCAAAUGUCAGAUGCUUUUGAUUCGUUAUGACAUAAUUUAAACAUGUAGUUAUCCAACGUGAUAUGAGAAUCUCAAUAUAUUUGAACAAAUGUAUAUUAACGUUUGAUAAUUUGGAAAUAAUUUGCCACAUUUAAAGUCCGACAGAAACUGGAACUGUUAAAUGUACAAAUCAUUGCUUCACCCAACGAAUUAGGUUCAGACAUUACAUAGUAAUUUAAAAAAAUAAAGAUGUUUAAAAUGCUAUUUCAAAGUAGAAGUGGACCAACCGUACAUGUUAUUCAUAUCUGGUCUCUUGACUUUUCUUUCAAUGCGGACUAGAAUUCGGCAUUCUCUUCGCUUGUGUACCAGAUGUACGGACUGGAAUUCUUGGUUCCCUUCGUUAUUCUGGGUUUUAUUUGCGGACUGGAAUUCUACAUUCCCUUCGCCUGAGUACCAGGUAUACGGACUAGAAUUUUCCAUUCCCUUCGUUAUCCUGGGUUUCAACUGUGGACUGGAAUUCUACAUUCCCUACGCAAGAAUACCAGGUGUACGGGCUGGAAUUUUUGGCUCCCUUCGUUAUCCUGGUUUUUGGUUUGCGGACUGGAAAUCAACUUUCCCUGCGCUCUUCAGGUGCACGGACUAGAAUCAGCUUCUGUCCGCCUUCCUGGAUGUAACGACAAUGCACUCGUUUGAAUAUUUUCAGUGAUGAAUAAUCAGUUGUACAUUUUUAAAACACGCGAUAAUAGUUAACCAUUUAAAAUAUUCAUGACAAUUUAUUUUCAUUACGAUUGUUUCAGAUCAAUCACAUACUUUAAAGUUAGUUUGCAAUUAUUCUUCUAUUUUCGGACCGCUUAACUUGUGCGGGUCGAAUCAACCUAUUUUUUUUUCUUUUUUUUAAUAGGUUGUUUUAUAGUUGCAUGUUAUUAGGGAACUUUCCCUUCAUUUUCCAAUCACUGAAUACAGCCUUAUAUUGAUGAAAUGCAUUUAGAGCAAUAUCGGAUUCCGUCUUUUCUCUACACUAUUUUGAUUACGAUUCCUUUAUGAUCUGUAGGCCACUUACUUUUAAGCAAUUAUUAAAAUACCGUAAGUACACUGUCACAUCUACCCCUGUGAUAGUCUUUCAAAAUCAGUUUUAUCGAAACAAUGGGAAAUCAUAUUGAUACCAUAUUUUUUUACGUGUGUUUGUCCACAUUUUCAAACAGAAUUUAAGAAUAUUCAUGAAAUGAACAAAGAACGAGAUUCAAAUAAUAGUCUAACUUAUCGCAAAUCUACAAUAUCAUCAACACGGAAAAUCACCAAGACUUUAACCUUCCGUCACUCGCGCCGUUGGCCAUCACCGCCAGCACCACGCAAAUUCUGAGUACAAAAGCGAGAUUUUCCAACGUGUUGUACAAAAUACAACAGUGCGAACACUUGAGGAUUAAUAGGCACUGAUACAUUAAUUCCAUCUUACCUGGAAACAGCGAAGUUGUGCAUCAUACCUCUUAAUAUUCAAUCCAAUUAAAACCUCCGGAAACGAUCGACUUAUCCACACGCCAGUUUAAUCAACAAUCAAUAUGCAACUGGCAUUUCGCCCGUGGCUCCAGUUACAUCAAUUUUCAAUGACCCCAAUCCCCCACUACAUCAUUUUUGAAUGAACACAAGAAGGCGGCGCUUCUGACGCUUCGCGCUGUCAAUCAUAGUUACCUUCGUCCGUUCAAAAUUUCGUAAACAACAAGUGAAUACAGUUUUACAGUCAUUUUUUUUUUUUGAAAGCGGAUUCAAAGCGGAUUCCCGGAUACCGGAUCACCGAAUUAUCGUAUUUAUAUAGUGGACAACUGAAGAUCCCGUCUCUGUCCGAAAUGGUUUCCAGGGUGCCUGCUAUAAGAUGAAUUGGACCAGUAACAUUGAAAACCAAUUCCCCGGGAUUGAACAGAAUUAACAAUAAUUUUAGGGAAGACAGGACAUGUCCGGUAGGACGACAUUGUUGCUGAUUCUGCCAUCUUAAUUUCAUAUACAACUAGGCGGUGUCGGAAAGGUCUUCAGAACGGCAUGUAACAAAUGGGCUGCAUUCUAUAAAGUGACACGAUACUGGACAUGAAUCUGUAAUUUAUUAAAGUGUAUAUGCCGCUCAUGUUUCGUAGAACAUUUGUUUUAAAACAAACAUCCUAGCUACAGUUUUUGAAAUUCAUUUCUAUUUUAUGAUAAUACAAAUAUGUACAUGAUUCAGUUUAUAAUUAUCGGCCAGAUUGAUUGCUCGUGGAUAAUGACAAAUGCCGUAUCUGACGGACAGUUAGGACCAGGUACGCCGCUGGAAAGUAAACUGUUCCCCGGUUGUAUGUAUUACAUCAUCGGGGAUGCUACGGAUCCCUACCGUAACACAACUACUCUAAUCGCUCCCGUCCCGUCACCUCUUGAAGUUCUCGGCAUCACUAUCGAAGCCAUAUUCCCUCCGACAAAGUCCACCCCGGAGGCUGCCGUGGGCUCAAUACCAAUCAGCCUGAGGUUUUCUUCUGGUUCCCAUCUGGGAUUGUACUUUUGUCCGGGGUCCAAAGAGGUCUUAUAACCGGUACUACCUUAACGAUGCAGGUUGUACAUCUGCGUUUGGGGAGGCGUCAACGACUCUCAGAGUGAAAUUCGGAUGUGAAUAGGGAUACUUGACGUAUCAGAGGAUGAAAAAAAAAACAAACACGAAAACUUAGUUAUCUUGGUUACCAGUUUCAAAUUUUUUUGUUUGCUUUGAUGGAGUGGCGAAAUAAGCGUUGCUUCAAGCGAAAUAAGAAGCGGGCGAAUUUUCCUGGGGGAAAGUGGGGGAGCGAAUGGCGUCAUAAAAAUGUACGGUUUUAUUCCUCACAUUUACAUCUUGAAGUUAAAUCUAUGGUUUAAUAUCUGCUUCUCCUCAACUUCACAAUGACUCAUCUCUUGUCGAUAAUUUAACGACUUUUCCUCGUCUGGGCUUCUGGGAGUGGUGUCCUGUUAACGGUGCUCGUUCAUUACUGACCAAUUUCUUCUUCUCCUCGAAUCUCUGCAUGCAAUCCAGAUAAUCCUCGUCGCCAAUGUAGUAAUGCAACUAUACUCUUUGGAGUGCCGAACAACAAUAAUCUUUAUUCUCAUCAUCAGGCCUGUCAAUCUCAGGCACAGCCUACUCUAACUUCAAUUGGUACACUAUACUACACUUGGGGGCUUUGAAUUUCAGGGAUGGGCUUUCUGCAAUGGAGGUGGCUGAGCAGCAGCUUGCUUGCAUCAUUGACUUUGCGUCCUCGAAGUCCAACAUCAGCAGGGACCUCAAGCAGGCCCUGGUGCGACUUCAUAAGUCAAUGACGGUAGCCAAGCAAGACCAUUGGGAACUUAUGGAAACUGCAGCAGCGGUAGAACCCGCGAAGACAAAGGUUACAGUGUACUCAAACGGAGCAUUCGCAGAAGCGUGUGAGGCAGCCGUCAGGUGGCUUGGGCCACAGUUGAAUGGAGGAGAAAGCGUAGGGACACCAAACCCAGGAGGCGUAGAUGCCAAGUGCAAGAAGGGCGAAGCACUUGUUAUGUCGACCGAACAGUUUAUGUACUCGAAUGUCUUGAAGGCGAUGCGGUGCGGUGUCAAGCUUGUGGAUCUAGAAGCCGACGUGUGCAGUAUUAUAUGUACUCGUACGGAUGAAAUGAUACUAGAGCUCAUGUGCGAGGGUGUCAACGUGAGGACUUUUACAGUGGAGGCGCCUCUGAAGGUGAGGAACCUAGAUGAGAUCACUGACGCGGGAGAGCUUGUCACGGUACUGCGGCAAGGACACAGGUAGUCUUGGUACAGCGUGGUACAGCUACUGUUGCGAUCAUAGUAGCUCUGUAAUUUGCGUCGCUAGGUACUUGUUAUUAGUUAUUAAGGUAGUCAAUCAAAUUUUCAUGCCAUUGCUAGUACUCAACAAGGUCAGUCGUUUUACUAGUUGCUCUCCUAUAGGUUACGAGCCCAUCAAGAGGACCGUAGCCGGGACCCGGAAGUAAUCUUGAAGAUUUUCUCAACCUCAAGAAACCUCAAGCAGUAAACCCGAAGUAGAAAUGUCGCUGAAUCACGUUGCUGCCGGAAGUGGAGGAAACGCAAGAACCGCAGCCGAAGCAAGAAGCGCUCGAGUUGGCGGAGGGUCCGUGGUGCAGUCGGCCAUCGUGAAGCUACGCGGCAGGGAGAAUUACACGACAUGGGCGUUCGCGAUGCGGAUGUAUCUCAUUCGCGAAAGAUGCUGGGAAGCCGUGAGUGCCGAAACCGUCGAAGCUCAAGCGUUGGUGCCGGAGGACCUGCAGCAACGGGCGCUCGCUAUCAUCCGUUUGAGCCUGGAUAGUUUCAUUUACAGCAUGGUGUUGGAUGCGGGCGAUGCGCGGGCCACCUGGAAAAAGCUCGAAUCAGCCUUUCAGGACGCGGCCUGGAAAAGAAAUUCGGGUUGCAAAGGAAGUUCACUUCGAUACGCCUCGUCAACUGUCAAACCGUCGAAGUCUACGUUGAUGAGCUGAUGAGCAUAAGCUACAAGUUAGCAGGACGUCAAGAUCGAGCAGGGUCCGACUAGUUGCAGCAACGAAGGUGCGUUGUACAGCAAGCAAGGUUCCAGGAGAUGCAAGCGGCGGGUAAAUCAAAAAGUGACGAGAAGACCUGCUUCAAUUGCAACAAGACUAUGUCAGGGGAUGUCAGCGCUGCAGAAUGGUAUUAUGACUCGGACGGCUGGAUCAGAAGUUCGUCGAGGAAGCCAAGGUACAGCAAACCACAGUGGCGUCUCGUAACCUCACUUUUUACCUGUUCAACGACCCUAAAACUUGUAUUUGCGCAAGAUUCAGGAACAGAAUCAAGUUGUAAAUGGACGGAAUCGACUAUUCUCGCCAUUUUCUACAAAAUACAAGCCAAUAUGUUGAGAAAAUUCAAGAAUUCACAUUCGUUGAACAGGUAGAUACGAGGUUAGGGAAUCGCCACUGGCAAACCAUCGGAACAGCGAACAAUACCAGCAUGCAGGCCGUAGUGAAGGGUUCUUUCGUAUUGGACGAAUUGAUGUGAGCGGAGUGCUGAAAAUCCCGGAUCUGGCAACGAAUUUGCUAUCGGUGAGUGCAAGGAAAGAAAACCGUUAUUUUCACGGAGGACAAAUGCGAAGUUGUGGAUGAAAGCGGCUAUCUGGGUGUCAGCGGAGUCGAGGAAGGUGGUUUAUAUAGAGUCAAUCGCACGGAGCAGUCGUUCUUGGCGGGCGGCAUCGACGGCUUGGGCAUCUGCACGAAGGUGGCCUGAAGAACCUGAAGCGGAUUGCUAGCGAAGCGGAGUCGAUUUCGAAGGAGGAUCGUUGGCGGGUUGCGUUGCAUGUCUGGAAGGCAAGCACGAGAAGCACGUCUAAGUCGGAAGAACUGCUGGAGUUGGUGCACUCCGACGCGGACCAGUGGUGGUUUUGUCGAUAGGUGAAAGCCGCUACUUAAAGACGUUUCUGGAUGAUGUGAGCAAGCGGGUAGCGGUUUAUUUCCUAGAGUACAAAAUCAAGCCCUUGAUGCGUUCAAAUCUUUCAAGGCAAUAGCGGAGAGGCAAACAGGUAAGAAGCUCAAAAUCCUGCGUUCAGACAAUGGACGGGAAUAUGUGAACGCAGAUUUUCGAAGGAUUGGCGUCCAACAUCAAACAACAUGUCCCUCUACACCAGAGCAGAACGGCGAAGCAGAGAAAAUGAAUCGCACCUGGUUGAAAAGGCGCGGUGCAUGUUCAACGACGCAAAGCUGGGUAAGGAAUUUUGGGCAGAAGCUAUUUCGACCGCACCCCACAUGGUCAACCGAUGCGCCACACGUUGCCUGGAGGACAUACCGCCGGAAGAGCCAUGGACCAGGAAGAAGCCGUACCCGGGGCAUCUCAAGAUUUUCGGCUCCAGUGUGAUGACGUUAGUGCCGAAAGCGAAGAUUCGAAACCCGAGAAGGGCAUUUUCGUCGGCUAUUGCGAUGACACCAUAGAUUAAACAUCAAGAUGUUAAGGUCAGGAACAAAUCAGUACAAUUUUUUGACGCCACUCGCUCCCCCAGUAAAUUCGCCUGUCCUUGAUUUCGCUGGAAGCGACGCCUUGAUCGGCCUUUUCGCCCCUCCACCCAAGCAACCAUUAUCGUUACCAAGCCUACGACAUUUUUAUGUUUAUUUAUUUCAAAUUUGAACGUUACCAACCCGGGGAGUAGGAAGAUUGUGCUGGCCCAGAAGGGGUUUAGGCAAAACUUUAGGCUGCUGGUCUUGCUUGGUCUAGGAUUGGUUCUCGGUGAGAGAUUUGUUAAUUAUGAGCCAGAAUCAGAUAGUUCGUUAGCUCGGCGGGUUCCGGAUUGGCCAAAACAUUAGCGGCCGGUGAAGAAGGGCGUCCUGUCCUGUGUCCACCCAACACGUCGGGUGAUGAUCAGGUCCAUAGAAUGGCGGAUGAGGGAAAUGGGGCUAACACCAUGAGAAAUUCAUUGGUGCCAUAUCGAAGGGCGAUAGUGGAAGGAGUUGUAGAAACGCAAUAAAAACAAUUAAAUAAAUUGAGAUUGAAAACGAAAAUGCUUUAUUUUCUUUCUAUUCAACAAUUUAGAUUUCUGGGGUUCCUGAGCCUCGUCUUUCGAAUCAACUGCCGACAUAGGGUCUUUCACUCUUGGCGACGACGCCGCGUGUGUGCAGUAACUUCAUUCUCUGAGCUUCAUGCUCCUUUCUACAAAUGCAUACUUUUGAUGAGACCUGAGACGAAACCUUCUAGUGUAAUCUUUCCGUGGCUUUAGCUCGCUGCCUCUUGGUAUUUUUGGUGUAGAAUGGCAUUCAUUCCAUAUUUCAAUGGUCCAUGGAUUCUGCUUCUUCCCUGGCGCUGCUUAUGAAUGUAUGUCCAGCACUUCUCGUUCCACAGGUGGUUAAGCUGAUGGAUGCGCUAUCGGGGAACUGAUCAAUGUAAGAAUAGUUUCUGAAGCCGGAUAAACUUUUCCUUUGUUAUCAUUAUGGCUUCCUCGGAAGUGUAGAUUUCAGCAUGCUUCUGCAAAUCUUCGUUCUGCGAGUCGGCGCACUCGUAGUCGAAGCUUCUAUGUCGUAGACCCGCCUAAUAUUGCUCAGCCCACCUGGUUGGAGUCCUUAUCCGUUCAGGAAAACCCGGGUCAACUUGUUCAAUUCUGCCACAGCGAUGUCCGUUCUGAAUUAGUCGAUCGCCCUCGAAGACCGUGAUUUUGUGCGCCACCGAUGACGAACAUUUGACUAGUUUAUGCUGCUGUUGACUUCAGGUACUUCGAUGGAGUGAAUUGAUAUGGGUGAAAAUUUUCAAAAGAUAAACACGAUUGACAGUUGAAAUCGUGAAAGCGCCGCCUCCUUAUGUCCAUUCAAAAACGAUGUACUGGGGGAUUAGGGUCGUUGAAAUAUGAUGAAACUGGAGCCACGGGCGAAUUGCAAGCAUUAUAUUGAUUGUUGAUGACACGGAGGGAUAUCCUGUCUAUGAUCCAGUGGCCAAUGGCCAAUUCCACGUCAGCCGAGAUGUCGUGGUACUUCAAGAAGGUGUCGCUUUCCAUGUACCAGAAGGACGGGAGAUGCGUUGGAGCGAAGUGUCGGUCACCCGGUGCCUGGCGCUGCAGAAAUCGAUCAACCGAUCGGGAACGCUGCGUCUGGCGAUGCCGGAGAUAUCGGCCAGCUGAUCGGUAAUCCUGAUGAUAGUGGAACGAUGGAUGAAGCGGUCGUUGACGACAGCGUCAAAAAAGAGUUCAACGAUGCCACUGCCGACCUUGCGCUCUCACCGCAAUUAAUUAGACCCUCUGAUGAUAGACAGCAAGGGUUAAGGUGCAGCGGUUGGGAACGCCGUUUCCCAGGCAAGUAUGAUGACUUUAUAGUUCCUUUUCUGGUGGUAUCCAUUCUCCUCAGUUACCAUCCAACAUGACGAGCGAUGAUGAUCUGACAAGUAUACGAGGAGGUUCUGCGGCGGCUAGACCACGAUCUUUGGAUUGCGACGAUGCGAGAGGAAAUCGCGUCCCUCAGCGAGAACAGCACGUGGGUAGUUGCGGACUUCCCCGAAGGAAGGAAGGCUAAUCGGAAUAAAUGGGUGUUCCGAACGAAGAGAGUUCCCGACGGAAGCAUCCAGAGAUACAAGCCCCGUCCCGCCGUGAAGAGUUGCUCUCAAACCCGUCCUAAAUUGGGCAUCGAGCAGAGGAAUGCCAUCACUGCAUUCCUGCAGGGGGAGCUGCAGGACGAUAAAAAAAUGUAUAUGCUUCAACCAGAGGGGUCUGAAGAAGGCCCUCUACGGCCUUAACCAAUCCAACCGCGUAUGGAAUAUGCAGUUGGAUACGGUGCCUCAAGAAUUUGGACUGCAGCGGUCGAGUGUAGAUCCGUGUUUGUACUGGACAAUUCGCAGUAUUAUAUUCGUGACCAUCUACGUCGACGAUUUUCUUAUAUUCACGAAUGACUGGAAGCUGAAGAAGAUGCUGAAGUCCCAUCUACAAUAGCGGUUCAGAAUGAAGGACUUAAGCGAAGCGCAACAUUGUCUUGCCAUUUGGAUUACGAGGAAGCGUGAAGACGGGAAGCUAUGAAUAAAUAAAAAGAAAAUCGGGUAAAGUACUGUUCCUUUGAAUUCCACUAAGAAUUUGCAUCCUUUGACAGAUACGUAUUUCGACCUCAACUGUAAGGUCGUCUUCAGUGUCUUGUACUUGAUUCGACUUGACUCGAAGCUAUGGUCAGUGUUGAGAAUACUCACUUGCGAAAAAUUAUACUCACUUGCUUCUAUCUCAGUCCAGAAUCAUGCUAUCAAAAAAUGAUGUUUGAAGGGCUUUUAGAUUGUAGUUUAAUCUAAAAGUUUGCCGAAAAAGGAAAAGGUUGCAGACGCAUACCAAAACCGUG